UCAUUCCAAUUGCCAGGCGAUAGCCAUUGUGACAGGACCCGAUCCAAAUUUCGCUUUGGAAUUCGAGUCAGACCCUGUGCGUGUCCGACACCUGGCAAAUGUCGGCACAAAAGACCUAUUUGCCCUUCUAUACAAAACACGAUAAAAUAACAAGGUUGACUUCUACCGAAAAACCGACAGAGUUUCCCUUGUAACUAGCUCAAUACCAAAAUAUUUACACCUGUCAAAACAAGUAUACAUAUAUACAAC
rnacentral:lncRNA from 1 species